rnacentral:rRNA from 1 species
GUGGGGAAUAUUGGGCAAUGGGGGAAACCCUGACCCAGCGACGCCGCGUGAGGGAAGAAGGCCUUAGGGUCGUAAACCUCUGUUGUGUGGGAAGAAGAGCGUGACGGUACCACACGAGGAAGUCCCGGCUAACUACGUGCCAGCAGCCGCGGUAAUACGUAGGGGACGAGCGUUGUCCGGAUUUACUGGGCGUAAAGGGCGCGUAGGCGGUCAGUUACGUCAGCUGUGAAAUGGUUUGGCUUAACCGGAUCAUGCGGUUGAAACUGGAUGACUGGAGUGCUGGAGAGGCAAGUGGAAUUCCCAGUGUGGCGGUGAAAUGCGUAGAUAUUGGGAAGAACACCGGUGGCGAAGGCGACUUGCUGGCCAGCAACUGACGCUGAGGCGCGAAAGCCAGGGGAGCAAACGGGAUUAGAUACCCUAGUAGUCC